rnacentral:lncRNA from 1 species
AUCAUUCAUCUUAUACAUCUCAUCACUUGGCUUAGCAAAAUGACUCCAAAUAUUGAGAAACACUUCCUUUCUAUUAUAUUCUUGAGAAACAUAAACCCAUGCUCGGUUAUAGAAUUCAUAUUCAAUUUUAGGAUCACGAUAUAUCAUUUUUGCCAGUGUUGUCUUUCCAAGGCCAGGCAUGCCAAUAAUUGAUAUAACUUCGAGUUCAUCAGGUCCUCCCAUGAGUAGAUUAGUAACAGUUUUUGCCUCAUCUUCAAAUCCCACCACAUUGUCUUCCUCUACAAUGGGAGCCUAUAUUAUAGUGAAAAAUGUUUAUUUCAGAAUCACAAAUAAUUAAAGAAUUGAUUUAAGGUUGUUCAUCUAAUUCUACUCAAUAUCUGAAAUAUCUAAAAGAUGAGUUCCUACCUUUUAGCUGGUGUCAUUUGAGAAUUUCAGAAAGUUCUCAGUUAUACAUUUCGGAAAAAUUUUACGCACUAGACUACAAAUAAGUUUCAAUAGUAUGCAAGAUAAUAGCAAGAAAACUCCUGCCUGCAGAACUUGUUAUCUUGGACUUCUACUUCGUACAACAGAAUUCAGAAUCACAUUAAGGAAUAUGAUUCAUGUCCAUACUUAGCGAUGGAGCAUGUAAAAAGAUAAGUUUUAUGUACAUUCAGAAAAAAGAAACUUGGAAAUCCUAACAAUUGUUUGACAUACCAGUUUAGUAAUAAAAAGGAAAGUUUUUUAUGGUGCACCAAUUUUGAAGAAUUAAUUCAAUCUGGAUCUUCAUAUAAAAUUUUGCUCCUUGAGUUCUCAAUGGUAGUACAAUUAUGAAGCCAGGAGAGUAACUAGAUUAAAAAAUGUUUUACCUGUGAAGGAAGCAUUUUUGAGCUCGAAGGAAUGGAGGUCAUUGAUCUGGAGGAUAAACGGAGAGCUUAAAUACAAUGCCUUUGUUGCCUUGCUUCUCAGCCUCAUCUUUCAUCGUUUUCUUAUACUGCUGGAUUUUCCGGGCAGAAGCAGCAGCUGAUUUGGUGGUACAGUACAAGUCAAUUAUCUGGAGGCUUAAAACAUCUGCAAGGCUGACUGGGACUGCUUCGAGGCUAGUGCAGUGUUUAAGAUAAAGACUCCUGAGUCUUGGGAAGUGAUGAGUCAAAGCAUGCCAAUGAACUAAAUCUGUCCUUCCAAUAAACAAGACUUUGAGAGCACGGAAACCUCCAUCCUCCGGCUGCCACCACUCUCCCUUAAAUGCAUUGUCUUUCAACUUUAGGAUCUCAAGGCUUUCCAACAUUCCCAAUGUAGCCAUUUGACUCCAAUCAAGAAGGGUGUCUGCCAGUGUUAGUUUCUUUAGCUUUGGUGGAAAUUUAUACCUUUGGGGAAGGCCAGCUAGUUUGCCUUCCGAAGGAGGCAAAGGAAAUACAUCAUUUAAUAGCUUCAAAUUUUCAAGGUAAUCCAAUUUUCCCAGGCUAUCAAACAAACUCGACACACCUUUGGGUUCCAAAAGUUUAGCUAAUUUGCCACGAAUACCCAAUUUCUUUAGGUUUGGAGCUCUGGCAAAUACAUCUUCUGUACAACUUUCAGGUGAGAUUGUAGAAAUUGUUUUUAGGUUAGCAUUUAUCAGGGAAUCAUCUUUACUUUUUCUUGAUUUAGCAAGAGGACCAUGUAAAAAUGUGGAUGCAUUUGUUUUUAGAUGCCUCAGUUGUAUCAUCUUCCAUAUAUCUCCUUUGAUUUCAAGGGUUCGUUCUGAAGUCUCAACUAUAAGAGUUUGCAUGUUCCAAAGGCUAGAAAUGGGAGAAGGAAGGAUCUUGAAAUUGCUGGACAGAACAAGAUACCUCAAAUGAACGAGUUGAGCUAGAUCAGUAGGAAAACGAGUGAAAAAAAUGGGUUUAGCAUCUAAAACCCUGAGCAAUUUAAAUGCUCCAGGGAUGGAGGAAGUGUGUUCAGCUUGCAGAAUAAUUUCUUCAGAAGAGAAACACAAGAAAGACCGAACACGUGGACCAAAUGGUUUUGAAGAGAUAUAACUCCAAACACGGGAAUGAAUGCAAAGGCGACGAUACGAUUCCAAGUAAGGAUUGGAAGACGAAUAGGUAACUUGAUCAAACCGUUUAAUUUCUUGGAAGAAGUUUUCCUCUGCAGCUUGAUUCUUGCAGAACACGUGUAGCAUGUCAUGAACAUGGCAUGUUUUAACUUUUCCAUUUGACCUCCGUUCUCCAACCAUGACUAAAUUCCUGUUGACAAGAUCGUCUAAGUACUCCUCCGCAAUAUCCUCCAAGCUCAUUCCCUCCUUUUGUUGUAUGAAUCCUUCAGCGAUCCACAGGCGAACCAAUUUCCACACUGGGAUUUGGCAAUCUUCUGGAAACAUCCCGAAGUAGAGAAAGCAUGCUCUCAAGUAAUAAGGUAAGUGAUUAAAACUCAAAGUUAUAAAACUGUCCAUACGUUUCUCCUGAUCCAUGGCAAUAUAUGCAUCCACACUUUGAGCAACCUUAUCCCACCAAUAACUUUCAGUACCUUUUUCCAGUAGAAUUCCUCCAAUCACCACUAGAGCAAGUGGAAGUCCACCACAUUCUCUGGCUAUAUGCUUUCCAGGUUGUAACAACUCAUCAGGACAUUCCUCUCCGCCAAGUGCCUUCCUUUGGAGCAAUGUCCAACUCUCAUCCGAAGUUAGAAAACGCAAAUUAUGGGGCUCCCUGUUGGGGUUGGCAUGCACAGCCACUCUCCUGAUACGACUAGUCAGUAAUAUUUUGCUUCGCUUCUUAUUUCUGGGAAAAGCAAUUUUGAGAUCAUUCCAGGCAUCUUCAGUCCAGACAUCAUCCAUGACAAUUAAAUACUUCCCUUUCUCCAGGAAUUCACGAAGUUCCUUAGCUAUUUUUUCAUCAUUCAUCUUAUACAUCUCAUCACUUGGCUUAGCAAAAUGACUCCAAAUAUUGAGAAACACUUCCUUUCUAUUAUAUUCUUGAGAAACAUAAACCCAUGCUCGGUUAUAGAAUUCAUAUUCAAUUUUAGGAUCACGAUAUAUCAUUUUUGCCAGUGUUGUCUUUCCAAGGCCAGGCAUGCCAAUAAUUGAUAUAACUUCGAGUUCAUCAGGUCCUCCCAUGAGUAGAUUAGUAACAGUUUUUGCCUCAUCUUCAAAUCCCACCACAUUGUCUUCCUCUACAAUGGGAGCCUAUAUUAUAGUGAACAACAAUCAUAUCAGAAUUCCGAAAAACAAGGUGCCAAUAGAGAUCGGAAUGCAUUCAAGACUGUACAAAACAAGAUUAAUUGUAAACUCUUCACAAGAAAAUAUCUGCGAUGAAAUAUCUCUAUCCAUGUCUAUAAAUUAAUCUAUAACUAUUUCAUAAUCCUCUAACAAUAUUUAGUUCUGCAUUUCAUUCGACAAUAGACUAUGAAAGCCUGUCAAAGGCUCUGGGAUUAGUAACCAAAAAAUAAAAAUGAAAAUAAAAAUAAAAGGAAUCUAACAUUUAUAUGACAAAGGACAGUUAAUCAGAUCCUUCAAAAUUAGUGAUAAACCAAUCAAUCCUAGAAACAUCAAACACGAUUGAAGAUUGUAUUGACUUUUGGUCAACCCAAUUUUUGUUGUCAAUGAAGUAUCCAGUUUUCAUGAUUUUCACUAGUAGAGGCAAUACUAAAAAUACUAAUACCAAGAUCCACUCAAGAUUAAGUACCAGACAACAGAGAAAUUUUACAUAAUACCAACUUAUAAGCUAACCCAGCAAUAUAGCUCUAAAAUAAC